rnacentral:rRNA from 1 species
GAUGAACGCUGGCGGCGUGCCUAAUACAUGCCAGUCGAGCGAACAGAUGAGGAGCUUGCUCCUCUGACGUUAGCGGCGGACGGGUGAGUAACACGUGGAUAACCUACCUAUAAGACUGGGAUAACUUCGGGAAACCGGAGCUAAUACCGGAUAAUAUAUUGAACCGCAUGGUUCAAUAGUGAAAGACGGUUUUGCUGUCACUUAUAGAUGGAUCCGCGCCGCAUUAGCUAGUUGGUAAGGUAACGGCUUACCAAGGCAACGAUGCGUAGCCGACCUGAGAGGGUGAGCGGGCACCAGCGGCGGGAAGCCCGCACCGGGCGCCAAAGGCAGGCAGCAGUCGGGCGUCUGGCGGCAUGGGGGAAUGCGGGACGGAGGACGGCAGCAUGAGUGAUGAAGGUCUUCUGAUGUUAGAACGCUGUUGUUAGGGAAAAACAAAUGGGUAGGGACGAAGGCACGUCUUGACGGUACCGAGAUAAGAAGCCACGGCUAACUACGUG